UCUCUGUCUCUCGUGUUUCGCAGGAGAAGAAGAGCCGCCGCCGCCGCUUUCCGCUUGCUCGCUCCUUGGGAUUGGGAUUGGUCAAGGCUAGGCGUUCCGGACGCAGCUACCGCCGAAGGGAGGCGCGCCGCCGCUGCUCCUACGACGCGGGCCGCCACGAAGGUCCCCUCCCCGCAGCGGACGAGCAGGUGUGGGUCGUCGAAAGGUUUAGUUGGGCGCGGAUGCUCCUUCCUUUGGUACGGAACUUACUUAUGGCACGCAGCGAAUAGGUCGUCUCCUUCCUCGUCGACAUGCAAGAGUAACGGCCGCGGCUCCGGUUAAGGGCGUGGAAGAACGACUUGUUUUCAGACGAGUUCCUAGAGAGAUGUGUUCAGUUCGGAUCUGGUCUCCUGGGAGUUACCGCGUUCUAUACAUCUUGGUUCUUCCACUGGUUGAAGUGAUCCAGCCGCCCAUAAGAACAAUAAAGACCCGAGUGAAUAAUACGGAACUGAAGGGCAGGACUUUAGCAUUCCAUACCACUGAUAGAACAAUGACGACUCUCACACGGGUACUAUGUUCUCUCCGACCUCCGCGUUCAUUAUGUUCUCUCUGACGCCUCUCAACGAUGACGACUCCCUCACUUGUUCGUUCUACCUGUAGUCGGACAACGAUGACGACUCCUUCACCUGUUCGUUCUACUUACAGUCACACAACGAUCACGACUCCUUCACCUGUUCGUUCUACCUAUAGUCGGACAACGAUCACGACUCCCUCACCUGUUCGUUCUACCUAUAGUCGGACAACGAUUUCGUUCAACUUACUUCUGCUUUACAUAGAGAACAAACUACCUCUUCGUUCUGCUAUAGUCAAGGUAAUGUCGAGAUACAAUACAUACAGAGAACUUUAUAUAUAGGUAGAUACUAGACGGUGGAUCUUCAAUCAUCAUCAUAUUGACCUACUAGACACUAACGUAACAUCCUAUACACACUACAACGACCGGACGGUACAAUGGGAAACUCAGAUUUUGAACUCGUCAUAAUAUUGACCUGCUAGACACUACCGCAACAUUCUAUAUACACUUAACGACCACACAAUACAACGGGAAAGUCGAAUCUUGAUCCCAUCAUAAUAUUGACCUACUAGACAAUACCGUAACUCUCUAUAGACACUACAACAACCGUAUCACACAACGGGAAAGUCAGAUCUUGAAAUCCUCAUAAUAACAACGACCUCCUAGACACUACCGUAACAUUCUAUUAAACACAACAACGACUGUUAUAAGGGGAAGGAGAGU
rnacentral:rRNA from 1 species